rnacentral:rRNA from 1 species
AAGAGACAGCAGCCGCCGCGGGAAUACAGAGGGUGCGAGCGUUAAUCGGAUUUACUGGGCGUAAAGCGUGCGUAGGCGGCUUCUUAAGUCGGAUGUGAAAUCCCUGAGCUUAACUUAGGAAUUGCAUUCGAUACUGGGAAGCUAGAGUAUGGGAGAGGAUGGUAGAAUUCCAGGUGUAGCGGUGAAAUGCGUAGAGAUCUGGAGGAAUACCGAUGGCGAAGGCAGCCAUCUGGCCUAAUACUGACGCUGAGGUACGAAAGCAUGGGGAGCAAACAGGAUUAGAUACCCGAGUAGUCCCUGUCUCUUAUAA